UUUGAAGUAGCAAUGAGAAAGUUCUUCAGAGAUGUGCAAAGUAAGCGUAUUUAAACUGAAUGGAAAAUUAUCAAAAGCUAUGCUGUCUAGCGUCAGAAAGAAGAAACGUUCAACAGUAACAUGAAAACAAUGUCCGAUCUAGCUCGUUGACAUUCGCCAAAGAACUGGCAAACAAAGUCACUACGUAGCAUCACACAUCACAAAAGACGAAAUCCCCAAGGUGAUAUUGAACGCCACUUCAACUUCUACAGUCUACACUGAGGAGAAGGCACUUAAUAUGUUCAUGUUGUCUGCAAGUGAUUCCAGACGUUUCAGCAUGGGCAACAGUGCUGGACAGUGGAUUGCUGAAAGGGAAAACACCCAGUUGGUAAGGUUUUGAUGGCCAUUUAUAAUUGGAGAGCAGCAUUGGAAUGCAACAGCUUGUCUGGCUUCCUCUGGUCCUAAGUUACACCAAAUAAAACACAUCAAAAGUUACUUA